rnacentral:rRNA from 1 species
AUACGGAGGGAGUUAGCGUUGUUGGGAAUUACUGGGCGUAAAGCGCACGUAGGCGGACUGGAAAGUUGGGGGUGAAAUCCCGGGGCUCAACCCCGGAACUGCCUCCAAAACUUCCAAUCUAGAGAUCGAGAGAGGUGAGUGGAAUUCCAAGUGUAGAGGUGAAAUUCGUAGAUAUUUGGAGGAACACCAGUGGCGAAGGCGGCCCACUGGCUCGAUACUGACGCUGAGGUGCGAAAGCGUGGGGAGCAAACAGGAUUAGAAACCCCAGUAGUCC